GAUGAACGCUGGCGGCGUGCCUAAUACAUGCAAGUCGAGCGAACAGACGAGGAGCUUGCUCCUCUGACGUUAGCGGCGGACGGGUGAGUAACACGUGGAUAACCUACCUAUAAGACUGGGAUAACUUCGGGAAACCGGAGCUAAUACCGGGUAAUAUAUUGAACCGCAUGGUUCAAUAGUGAAAGACGGUUUUGCUGUCACUUAGAGAUGGAUCCGCGCCGCAUUAGCUAGUUGGUAAGGUAACGGCUUACCAAGGCAACGAUGCGUAGCCGACCUGAGAGGGUGAUCGGCCACACUGGAACUGGGACACGGUCCAGACUCCUACGGGAGGCAGCAGUAGGGAAUCUUCCGCAAUGGGCGAAAGCCUGACGGAGCAACGCCGCGUGAGUGAUGAAGGUCUUCGGAUCGUAAAACUCUGUUAUUAGGGAAGAACAAAUGUGUAAGUAACUAUGCACGUCUUGACGGUACCUAAUCAGAAAGCCACGGCUAACUACGUG
rnacentral:rRNA from 1 species